rnacentral:rRNA from 1 species
UACGUAGGGGGCAAGCGUUAUCCGGAUUUACUGGGUGUAAAGGGGGCGCAGACGGCGAUGCAGGCCAGGAGUGAAAGCCCGGGGCCCGACCCCGGGACUGCUCUUGGAACUGCGUGGCUGGAGUGCAGGAGGGGCAGGCGGAAUUCCUGGUGUAGCGGUGAAAUGCGUAGAUAUCAGGAGGAACACCGGUGGCGAAGGCGGCCUGCUGGACUGCAACUGACGUUGAGGCCCGAAAGCGUGGGGAGCAAACAGG